rnacentral:snRNA from 1 species
AAAAAAAAAAAAAAAAAAAACAAAA